rnacentral:piRNA from 1 species
UGUUCUAUUUGCCUUACUUCUUGCCCCC